rnacentral:rRNA from 1 species
AUUGAACGCUGGCGGCAUGCCUUACACAUGCAAGUCGAACGGCAGCGGACCUUCGGGUGCCGGCGAGUGGCGAACGGGUGAGUAAUAUAUCGGAACGUACCUUUCAGUGGGGGAUAACGUAGCGAAAGUUGCGCUAAUACCGCAUAUUCUGUGAGCAGGAAAGCAGGGGAUCGCAAGACCUUGCGCUGAUUGAGCGGCCGAUAUCAGAUUAGCUAGUUGGUGAGGUAAAGGCUCACCAAGGCGACGAUCUGUAGCGGGUCUGAGAGGAUGAUCCGCCACACUGGAACUGAGACACGGUCCAGACUCCUACGGGAGGCAGCAGUGGGGAAUUUUGGACAAUGGGCGCAAGCCUGAUCCAGCCAUGCCGCGUGAGUGAAGAAGGCC